rnacentral:rRNA from 1 species
UACGGAGGGGGCUAGCGUUGUUCGGAAUUACUGGGCGUAAAGCGCGCGUAGGCGGAUCUGCAAGUCGGGGGUGAAAUCCCGAGGCUCAACCUCGGAACUACCUUCGAUACUGCGGGUCUCGAGUCCGGGAGAGGUGAGUGGAAUUCCUAGUGUAGAGGUGAAAUUCGUAGAUAUUAGGAAGAACACCAGUGGCGAAGGCGGCUCACUGGCCCGGUACUGACGCUGAGGCGCGAAAGCGUGGGGAGCAAACAGG